rnacentral:lncRNA from 1 species
GCGUUUGAAUUGCUUUCACAAGCUGACCCACUCCUUUGUAUUUUGCUACAACCAAUCAAAUAGAUAACAAAAUGGAAAUCAGAGCCAAUGGAAAACGAAAAAAAAUUCAAAUAUGUCUUCAUUGUGAACCUCAGCUUUGACCCUAAAGUUUUAACUAAGAGCAACUCUUUAUGCACAAAUACCCAGGAACACAUUAUUCUAUGUCCUUUUCUAAGAAAGAGAGGGGGAAGAAGAGGGAGAAGGAGAAUGUGAGUGAAGAAGAGUAUGGGGUGGAAGAAUAGAA